CAGUAGCCGCGGUAAUACGAAGGGUGCAAGCGUUACUCGGAAUUACUGGGCGUAAAGCGUGCGUAGGUGGUGGUUUAAGUCCGUUGUGAAAGCCCAGGGCUCAACCUGGGAAUUGCAGUGGAUACUGGGUCACUAGAGUGUGGUAGAGGAUAGUGGAAUUUCCGGUGUAGCAGUGAAAUGCGUAGAGAUCGGAAGGAACAUCUGUGGCGAAGGCGACUAUCUGGGCCAACACUGACACUGAGGCACGAAAGCGUGGGGAGCAAACAGGAUUAGAGACCCGAGUAGUCCCUGUCUCUUAUAC
rnacentral:rRNA from 1 species